AACGAACGCUGGCGGCAUGCCUAACACAUGCAAGUCGAACGAGACCUUCGGGUCUAGUGGCGCACGGGUGCGUAACGCGUGGGAACCUGCCCUUAGGUUCGGAAUAACUCCCCGAAAGGGGUGCUAAUACCGGAUACUGUCUUCGGACCAAUGAUUUAUCGCCUUUGGAUGGGCCCGCGUUGGAUUAGCUAGUUGGUAGGGUAAAAGCCUACCAAGGCGACGAUCCAUAGCUGGUCUGAGAGGAUGAUCAGCCACACUGGGACUGAGACACGGCCCAGACUCCUACGGGAGGCAGCAGUGGGGAAUAUUGGACAAUGGGCGAAAGCCUGAUCCAGCAAUGCCCCGUGAGUGAUGAAGGCCUUAGGGUUGUAAAGCUCUUUUACCCGGGAUGAUAAUGACAGUACCGGGAGAAUAAGCUCCGGCUAACUCCGUG
rnacentral:rRNA from 1 species